rnacentral:rRNA from 1 species
AUGAACGCUGGCGGCGUGCCUAAUACAUGCAAGUCGAGCGAACAGACGAGGAGCUUGCUCCUCUGACGUUAGCGGCGGACGGGUGAGUAACACGUGGAUAACCUACCUAUAAGACUGGGAUAACUUCGGGAAACCGGAGCUAAUACCGGAUAAUAUAUUGAACCGCAUGGUUCAAUAGUGAAAGACGGUUUUGCUGUCACUUAUAGAUGGAUCCGCGCCGCAUUAGCUAGUUGGUAAGGUAACGGCUUACCAAGGCAACGAUGCGUAGCCGACCUGAGAGGGUGAUCGGCCACACUGGAACUGAGACACGGUCCAGACUCCAACGGGAGGCAGCAGUAGGGAAUCUUCCGCAAUGGGCGAAAGCCUGACGGAGCAACGCCGCGUGAGUGAUGAAGGUCUUCGGAUCGUAAAACUCUGUUAUUAGGGAAGAACAAAUGUGUAAGUAACUAUGCACGUCUUGACGGUACCUAAUCAGAAAGCCACGGCUAACUACGUG